rnacentral:lncRNA from 1 species
UUUGUUGUGGGAACUGUCCUGUGCAUUGUAGGAUGUUUAGCAGCAUCCCUGGCUUCUACCAAGAUGCCAGGAGCAACCCCCCCCCCGCCACCACCACCAUUUGUAACAACCAAAAAUGUCUCCAGACAUUUCCAAAUGUCCCCUGAGGGACAAAAUUGCCUCUUAUGAACAUCCACAAUCUAUCCUCUCCACUUCCUGCCCACAACACCAUACAUAGAUUAGCAUAUGGCUCUCCUCCUACCGGGCAUGAAAGGAUAAGUAGAAUCUAUCUUGGAUAACUGUGUCAUCUAUUUAUUAAAAAUAAAUAUUUUAUUGUGUUUCUUUAAGUUUCUUCUGCUCAAAUAAAGAAAAUGAGUGAUGCUACCAGUGACCAGAAAUUUCACCAUGGACAAAAACGAUCAACUCACCAUUCUCAUGGUUUUGUAAAGCUUCCUGCCAAAAAAUCAACCUCAUCACCUCCUCGGCAUGACGUACAGAGUAACACACCAGAACAAAAGGUAGAAAGUUGUAUGUCUCAGAUGCUUUGUGUUGAUAAUUAAUUUAUCUAGUUAACUUAUAUUUCUAUGGGAUAUCCCCUUCACUGACAUGGCACUGACCGGUCAGAGAUAAUGGGGUCCUACACAAGUGUGAAGCCUCUCUCUGGCAGAGAAAGUUCUAAGUCAGCUUCCUGCUAAAUGUACCAUGUAGUUUAGCAGAAACUAACUUAAAUAUUUGAUUAUGAAGAUGAUGCUAGCUAACGUUUAUUGAGAUCUUACCGUGGGCCAGGUCCUGUGCUAAGCUAGAAGGAAGGGAAAAGAGGGAAAGUAGAUGACCUAAGAUGGAAAGAUGUAAAAGACAUCAUCGCUGCUCUUGAGGACUCACUGUCAGGGAACAGACACACACAGUAAAAUUUGUUUACAGUAAAAUGAGAGGACAGUUUUGAUUUGUACAAAAUGCUGUGGGAGCACAGAAGAUUUAGAUACUAGACUUGCCUAGACAAGUCUGAAAAUAAACAGGCUUUAUUAAAGGAGGGAUUAAUUGGA